AUGAAAGGGCCCCUAGUGAAAAUAUAUUUCCGGCCCGUUAGGGCACGCUCUUCUUCACUCGCCUCACGCAGGCCUCUUCACCUUGAGGGCUUCAUCGUUUUGAAAGCUUCCUCGACCCUGUUCAUCCGCAUCUGUCGGUGGUGGAACCGCAUCACAGCAGCAGCGUUGUCUUUCUCAACUGCAGCAGCGUUACCUCCAGGUUCGAUGAUGGCAUGUAAUCUUUGAGGCCUGAUUUACAUUGACAAGUGAGUGAAUCAACCAUUGAGUUCGUCAUGGGGUGGGAUGAUGAAAUGCACUGGGCGCUGAACAAUUUUUGUUGAUGGAAAUGUGUUUGCCUAUUAUUUCAAGGUUCGAUGAUGGCAUGUAAUCUUUGAGACCUGAUUAUCAUUGAUGAAAAUUAUAAGCAGUCUCACUGAGGACCGAGUUGCAGAUUCAUCACUGUGCUUCCUCAACUUCGACUAGAAAAGAGUGGAGUAAGGGAGGAGGCGGCAUAUGCAUAUUAUUAGGAUUUUGGAUCUUUGUUACGAUUUACUUUUCAUCUUUGCAUUUCAGGUGGUGCAAAAAUGAAAACAAGGAUAUCUAGGCUUGAUUAAAUUUUCAUAUCGGAGAUCUGUGUUGUAUUUGUUAGUUGUUGGCAGAAUUGGAGCUAUGGAUCAGGCUGUUGGAUAUCCAAAUAUAUAUAUGUUAUGUUGUUCUCAUGGCUCUUUGUGAA